UACGUAGGGGGCAAGCGUUGUCCGGAUUUAUUGGGCGUAAAGAGCGUGUAGGCGGCCAGGUAGGUCAGCUGUGAAAACUCGAGGCUCAACCUCGAGAUGUCGGCUGAAACCAUCUGGCUAGAGUCCGGAAGAGGAGAAUGGAAUUCCCGGUGUAGCGGUGAAAUGCGCAGAUAUCAGGAAGAACACCCGUGGCGAAGGCGGUUCUCUGGGACGGUACUGACGCUGAGACGCGAAAGCGUGGGGAGCGAACAGG
rnacentral:rRNA from 1 species